rnacentral:rRNA from 1 species
AGUGAACGCUGGCGGUAGGCCUAACACAUGCAAGUCGAACGGCAGCACAGUAAGAGCUUGCUCUUACGGGUGGCGAGUGGCGGACGGGUGAGGAAUACAUCGGAAUCUACUUUUUCGUGGGGGAUAACGUAGGGAAACUUACGCUAAUACCGCAUACGACCUACAGGUGAAAGCAGGGGAUCUUCGGACCUUGCGCGAUUGAAUGAGCCGAUGUCGGAUUAGCUAGUUGGCGGGGUAAAGGCCCACCAAGGCGACGAUCCGUAGCUGGUCUGAGAGGAUGAUCAGCCACACUGGAACUGAGACACGGUCCAGACUCCUACAGGAGGCAGCAGUGGGGAAUAUUGGACAAUGGGCGCAAGCCUGAUCCAGCCAUACCGCGUGGGUGAAGAAGGCCUUCGGGUUGUAAAGCCCUUUUGUUGGGAAAGAAAAGCAGCAGGUUAAUACCCCGCUGUUCUGACGGUGCCCAAAGAAUAAGCACCGGCUAACUUCGUG